AUACUUGCUUUAGUAUAAAUAAUAAAAUUGGAACGAUACAGAGAAGAUUAGCAUGGCCCCUGCACAAGGAUGCGACGCGAAUUCAAGAAGCGUUACUUAUUUUU